GGCCUGGCUCCCCCAGGGGCUGCACGCGCCGCGCUCAGGAUGCCUAAGGACGAGGAGUUGGCGGGGACGACCAGCUCGGAGAGCGCCUCGGAGGAAGAGGUGGAGGGAAGGUACUGCCACCCCGGGGAGAAGGGAGAGCCACCAGCAGAGCUUCCUGGUCAGUUCUGCGGGCAGGUGACCGUUUACUGUUUCCAGCGGCAGCUGAAGCACCUGCGUUCGUGGUGUGCCCAGUCCAUGUGUGCCUCGUUGGUGGACCAUGAAACUGGUGUGCUCUGGAGGCUCAGGUACAGCCCAGAAGGGCCUUAGCUUCUCAGACCAGGCCAUACAAGCUGGUGAUCUCUCUUUCUAGAAAAGAAAGAAAGAAAUGUCUUCUAAGUCAGAGAGAAGACUGAAAACAGAGGCCAAACCUUCAAAGGUGACAGAAAAACCUCUGGGACAAGGCAGUGAAGAAGAGGGCAUGUUCCAGGUAUGAAGGGCAGGGAUCUGUUCUGGAACACAUCUUCCUUCUCUAUGCAGGUCUCUCCCUUCUACCUUCCCUACUUGUAGCAGAGCAUUUUUGUGGCUGAGUUGGCUUCCUGGGGUGCCUGCUGUUCCUUCACUAGUCCUCUGGCACGUUGGGUAACCCAACAGGCCCUUUGGGCUGAGGACCACCAGCUUGUUUCAAGGCUGGGUUUAACUCAGGCUCUGUGUCACCACAGAUUGGUACGAUGCAUUAUGUCAAAGUGUCCUGCUUCAAGGCCAAGGUCCUUGUGGACAUCAGGGAGUUCUACACGGACAAGGAGGGCAGCACAAAACCAGGGAGGAAAGGCAUUGCGCUCUCUGCAGACCAGUGGAACCAGCUGAAGGCAAUAAUUCCUGAGAUCGAUGCUGCAGUCAAGAAAUUUUAAGAUAAAGAAUCUUGGACACCUUCAAUCUGUUUCCUUUCCCUGAAGUGCACUGACAACUAUAAAGCCAAGUGAGAAUCCUCAGAGCCUUCCACUCACCUUGCUGGGGUUUCCUCACUGAGAUGGUCACGCUGAAAAGACCAGAGACUCUUCUUUCAAGAAGUAGCUUGUAAGGAGCACCUGAAACUACAGUCAGUGCUGUGAAGUGAGACUUCGGUACCUCUGGUCUCAAGCAGACUUGAGGUCUGUGCUGGUGAGGGACAUGACACUGGCUUUCCAGGGUUGAUGGCUUCAGUCUACCUUGUGGGGUCCUUUAACUGCUCUACAUCUGCAGCUGCCUUCCACUUGGUUGACUGUUCAAUAAGAUAGUUCUUUUAACCUCAUGUUGGCAUCCUCUGUGUUUCCUCCACAGGUCAUUCUGGCUAUUUCAAGUACUUUCUGUGUUGGUAAGGGUUGUUUGGUGUUUUUUGGGGUUGUUUUGUUCUUUUUGAGUGAAGAAAAGGAUUAUUAUACAUGAGCAACUGGUUUGUCUGUAGAGAGUGAAUAUGCACAAUAAAUGUGUUUGCAUUAUAAAAAGGAGAGGCAUAGUGUUUCACAGGCUGGCACCUCAACUCUUUGUUUCAGGUACCCUUCUUUGUAGGUUGCUGUUUGAUUUCCCUUUCAUAAAGAGAGUGCUCUGUAGUGUUUAAUCUCAUGAUAUACUCCAAAUAAUCUUGUUAUACAGAAGCAGUCAGACAGUGGUCUACUCCGGGUCAUGGGAAGGACAAGCUAGAAUGUGAAUCACUAAAAGGAACUGGUAAUUAGGAGGCCUAUUAAAUAGAGAGGAAAUUAAAGGCCUAAGGAGGAAAAAGAAUAUUCCUUUCCCUGUGGCAGAGAAAAAUGACAAGCUAUGGAAAGAGUGGAGAGAGGAUAUUUUAUGCUUGAGCUCUAAAUGGAUACCACUCUGGGAUCAGCUGCAGCAAGCACAGCCUUCCUCAGCAAGACUUUUCAACAGCUUGCAUCUUCCAUCUAUUUUUGGUUUUUCUCUUGCCCUGGUUUCCAUAGUAUCUGAAUGCUUCAUGCUCUUAAAUAUAUUUGACACUUGCAACACCUUGGUGAAGUAGGAGGUACUAGGGCUCUUUCUCUAUAGAGGUACUGGGGCUGUAACAGCUCAGGGUUGUGAGGAAGAUGUGGGGAGGAGCAGUGGAUUGAAACUAGGCUUUCCUAAAUGCUGAAUUUGUAGCUGCUGUAUUAACUUUUCACUGGGGAUAGCAGGGAUAACAAAAAAUCUUCAUGAAACUGUCUCUCAUAAAAAACUUUAAAGGGCUCAGUGCUGUAGCUGCUUGGACCAGGGGUGGAAUUUGGUACACUUGAUGACUGAGGUAUUCUCCUCUAAUCCUGUCUUCUGCUAUUCUCUGUUCAAAUGUCAUAUUUCUUUCUCUCAAGGAAAUGAGAGAAAACAUGAGGAUGCUAGAUUAUUGUGGUAAGGCAGAUUAUGUUCUAAAAUCAGGUUGCUCAUGCUGUAAACAUUCCCAUGGAACAUUUAUAACAUAAUGUCUUAAUACAGUGUUCAGAGAUGAAAGAUAACUGCAAGAUAAAGAACUUAAAAAAAAGGAUGAAAGAGAAGCAGAUGACAUAGGUAUGAACCCAAGAUGCUAGGGGUGCUCAGUUCUUUUGUUUUGUCCCAGCCCUGGGGUACCCAGACUAACACAUGUGACAGAAAUAACCAUCUCUAUGCAGGAGUGUUUAGGGGCAGAGGGAGAGGCCAGAUCAAACCAGCAAAACUUAAUAACUGCUGAAUAAAAACAGGUGCAAACUGAACUUGAUCAGGUCAACUGAAUAAUGCAUGGUUCUAAAGCUGAUGAGUAGUCUCCCCUAAAUUGCAAAAAGAGGGCCAUGUUCCAUUGUUUUCUGACUAGCUUUCUUUCAAGCAUUGGAAGAAACAGUUUGCAAACAACUAAAACAUUUUGUGUAAGAGGCAACAAG